rnacentral:piRNA from 1 species
AUGGGAUAAAGGAAACAGAGGACA